CAUCUAGAGUCCUGUCCCACAAGGGACCCUGCAGAGGUGCAGGGGCCCAAACUAGACAUUGUGAGAUAGGUGAGUUAGGUGAUACGUCUUUGCGAACACACAACCUUUGAUUUGUAAUCACAAAUACAGCAGCCCUGCUAACCCAGCCUUCCAGAAAUCUUUCCAACCAAACAGCAGCAACAGCAAAGGGGUGGUGUCAUUUUCCCCCAUUUCAUUCACCUAAGAUGUGAAUUUCAGAACCUUGCUUAUACCAUGCUCAAUAAUGUUCACAUUUAAAGGCAAUUUCUUCCUCCUUCCAACCGCGAACAGUAGGCAAAGACAGGAUUGUUAGGAAAGGAAAUAGUUAAUAGCCAGUUUUUCCCCUAGCAAAUGAAAAAGUAAGAUACAGGAAUACCAUUCAUGAAAUUGUAUUCUAUUCAGGACAAGCGAGAGACACUUGUUUGUCAAGAGAGUGCAAAAAUGUUUUCCCUAAAUUUCCCCUAUACCUCUAGAACUAACUGUCUAUUGCUGAAAAUAUUGAUAAUCUCUUAACUGAUUUUUACUGGUGUAAUACUCCUCCACUAUUGUAUUUUAAAAUCUAGUUUACUGUAGCAUUUUACAACAAUAAACUUCUAUAGAAUGUGCAGUUAAAUAUAAUCUCAAUUAUAAUAAUAUUUAAUACCUAGCUCUUAUAUAGCAUCUUUUAUCCAUAGAUAUCAAUUCAGUUGGGUCAGUUUAAAUUCAUCUAGACAAGCUGACUUUGUUAAGGACUUACCGACUGAAAUCAAGGCAAAGACAAAAAUCAGUGAAAUCAUUCUGUACGCUUCACCACGAUUCUGUGUUCACGCAACGGUACUGGACUUUCUUCUCAUCCUGCUACUUAUGAAUGCUAGUGAAGGCCACCCUGGCUUCCAAGCCAAUCCAAAUUCAUAUACUUUCAAUUCAGUGUAAAGGAGGCAGUCUUAUUAUGUGAGCUAAUCUGGAGACGAAAAUCCCAUCCCAGUGUGUAUGGCUCCAAUACAAAACGUCUGAGCAGAUGGGGAUUUCUACUUGAGAGAUAUCCAAAACCAGGAUUUUCUCCUAAUUCUCAACAAACUCAUGCACAAUAAACAAUUUAGCUAUGUUUGAAUAUAAAAUAUUGCUGUGCCAUAGAGGACUUUAGGUGAAUGGGCCUUUGAAAGCUUGUUUCUGUUGUUUCUUAGAAAUUGAUAAGUCAGUGAAGGGUUCACUGGAAACCUGGAUUAACAGGUAUGACGCUACCCCUGUCACAGACCCUCGACUAAAUCCUGCUUUCUUUACUGAGAGGAAAACAGAGUUCGGUGGGAAUAAUUGCUGAGUAAGGACUACAAGAUUUGCCCCCUUUGUACCUUCUCUGUUUGUUUUUCAACUAGUUUUGUUCUGACUUCUCAUGAAAUUAGUUGAACGGGUUAAACUUGCUAAAACUAAAUUAUUUGCUGAAUGUCUUAUGCUAUCCUCUUGAACCAAGAUAAGAGAUGAAUGCUCAUUGGCUGCUUUUUUUGAGCAGGAGAGGCAAGGAUACAAUCUCUUCCUUGUUCACGUUCUGUAUCUUCUGUUAUAAUUUGUUUCACAUGAAUGUACAAAGGAACACUGAGUACAAAUAAGUUAUCCCCAUUACCUGAAGCUGAGGAGGACGCAUACUGAGGUGAUCUAGCUGACCAGCUAUCCUCAUUUCACCAUCUCCCAUUGUAUUCCAUCUGUUUGUCUCUCCUUUCGGGCAAUGUGGUGUGCACAAUACUCCAGAUGUGGUCACAUCAGACUCAGGGAGCAAAAGGAACUAUUCAAAGCGGAAAAUUCCAAACAUCCAUCAUUUUCUCAUUAUUUAUUAUUGUUCCCUGCUAGUCACCCUCAUUCAUUAAAAGAUGGAAAG